GCAGAUAGUAAUUGACGAACACAACACACCACGUGGAGAGAAGCAAGGUGUGGAGUACCCAAGCCUCUCACAGUCCAUGCUAGUAGACUCACCCUGCAUGUGGAGAUCUCCCAAAAUGCACGGAGGUUAUUCCAGAGCUGCAGGACAGAGUACUUGAGGCCAUUGGUGAACAGAAAGCUGAGGUUGAACAAAGCCAAGAAUUGAUAGCUGCCCAAGGUGUAAGCAAGAUUCACAAUGAUGAGGUCAUUGUGACGUGUGCAAUGUGUCCACUGGUCUUGGCCUUCCUGACCAAGGCAGCCACACAAAGGAAAUUCCACGUUAUUGUUGCCGAACGUGCCCCUAAAUAUGAUGGUCACCCAGUGGCAAAAGCUUUAUGUACUGCUGGAAUUGAGACAACAUUAAUUCAAGACUCUGCAGUGUUCCCCAUCAUGUCACGUGUCAACAAGGUCAUCAAAGGUCAUCGUUGGCACCGAGACGGUGGUGACCAACGGAGGCAUUGAGACCUUUGUUGGUGCAGCCUCUCUUGCCUCACCACCAAAGUUUUAUUCUGUUCCACUGUAUGUGUGCACUCCCACAUACAAAUUUAGCUUGAUGGGCUGUGAAGAAAUAAGCCACCAAACCACCACUUCUAUUAUCCCAGAGGGAACAAAGUUUUGGCCGUCUGUAAAUACUGCGCUGACUCAGCUAGAUUACGUUCCUCCAGAAAAUGUCACCAGUUUGAUAACUAACA